rnacentral:lncRNA from 1 species
CAAAUAUGGGGAUUUUGAGGCAGACUUUGACAGAAAACUCUAGAAAAUGUGUGUUGAAACAUUCAUAGCCAAAUGAAUUAAGGCUCUUUCCUUCAGUUUUGGAACUAUGUGAUAAAAAUACUAUGUUUUCCUUUAGGUAUUAUUAGACCAUGGUUCUAGUAAGAGAAUAUCAUAAAUUAAUGACUCCCACUCUCUGGCCUAAUAACCUACACAAUUAUUAGGGAAGUUGCUUACAAGUAGUUUACCUUUACUGUCUGUAUUUUCUUUAUUCCUUUUACUUCAUCCCCAGCCUUUUCAUUUUCUUCUGGGCAGGAAAACCUGGAGAAAAGUUGCCUCCUUGUCCCUUUGACUUGGUGAUAGCCAGAAUGUGGCUAAGAUUCUGCUGAAUCGCUAAGAUCACUUGGGUGAUCUGAAAUGUAUCUGUAAAUUAACCAGAGCAUCUAUUAGAAAUGACCUAAUUCUUCUCUUUUUCAAAUGUAUAUGAUUAAUAACCAUAUUAUAUAUUUCAGCAUUAAAUAUAUGU